CCCGUGGCUCAGAUGGUGGUAAAGCAUCUGCCUGCAAUGCAGGAGACCUGGGUUCGAUCCCUGGGUUGGGA
rnacentral:tRNA from 1 species